rnacentral:lncRNA from 1 species
AGAGACAGCGACAGCAACGGCAGCAGCGGAGGCGGCGGUGAUGGCCGAGUCCUAGGCGCCCGCCCACGGAUCAUAGCCCCAGGAAAACUUAUGGAUUCCAUCCAAACUGAUAAAAAUCAGAUUUGAUAGAGGAAGACCCUCUGAAGAUCUUGACUGCAGAAAGGAAGAAAGAAAUCUAGAAGACCAAAUAGGAUAGGUAACAUGAUUGAUUUGCUGGUUGGUUAACUGUUCAUGGGAACAGCCAUGAAACUAGCUGAGACAUAAAAAUGUCUCUAGCCAGAACUUCAGUUACACAUAGCCAAUAAGAUUCAUUGGGCCAUCAUUUCAUACAGUAUGAAUGGAAAUUUAUAUUGCAGUUUGAUUAUGUGGUCAAACUAACUUUUAAGGAAAGAUAGUUGUCUUUCACCUGCUCAAAAAAGAGCAGAAAAAAAAUCACCCUUAAUUGAUCUGUGCACCCUGCAUGUUUCAUACAAAUGUCUUUAUAAACCUAUGAACUGCUUGCAAAGUUUGUAUAUUGCAGAAUGGAAGGCCAGAAGAGCAGCCCUGACCGGAUUCACUUUCGAGGAUGCUGGGAUGCUGAAACCUGCUUUUCCAGCUCCCUGAUCAAUAUUGCCUCAAACUGAUGCUGUUCCAGAGACUUGCUUCCAGAACAGCUUCAAAAAGGGCUGCUAAUCCCAGAUGACCUUGUUUCAUCCAGUCUUUCAGAUUGUUCUAAUCAGGACUUCAGUUAAGCCCUAAACUUUCUCCAUUCAAGACUUCAGUUAAUCAACCUAUAGAGACUGGACAACAAUAAUGCCAGCUAGCUUUCUUUUGACUUAACCAUUUUUCCAGUUUUCUCUUGGGCCCCCAAACUGGAACUCUUUUCCCCAAUUCAGCAAGAAGAAACUAUAAGAAGACUGUCAUCCCAAUCACUUAAGUUGGGGUGGAUAGUUUUGAUCAUUUUAUGAAUUAUAGAUAUAUUGUCAUUUUAAGGGAUGAUUACAAAUAAUUAUGGUCUUAGACAGGGAGGAAAUUAUAUAGGGAGCUGAGACUCAGAGAUUGCUAUAUCUCUUUUCCUUUUCUCUAUCCUUCUUUCUUUCUUAAAUAAAGAUAAAGAGGUUGAGAAGAAAAAGGGGGCAUAUAGAAAUAUUGUAAGAAAUUAGACAAAUAGGGGUAGAUUAUUAAAUCUAUUCUUAAAUAAAAACAUUUUACAGUGAUAA